UUGACUGUGCAAAGGUAGCAUAAUUAUUAGUUUUUUAAUUGAAAGCUUGUAUGAAGGGUUGGACGAGAUAAAAUCUGUCUUUAUUUAAAUUACAAUAGAAUUUAACUUUUAAGUCAAAAGGCUUAAAUGUAUAUAAAAGACGAGAAGACCCUAUAGAUCUUUAUUUAAUUAAUAUUUUGAUAAUUUAAGAUUAUUUUAGUUUAAAGUUUUAAUUAAAUUUUAUUGGGGUAAUAUAGAGAUUAAAUAAAUUCUUUUUAUUUAUUACAUUGAUUUAUGAAUAUAUGAUCCAAUAUUAUUGAUUAUAAGAUUAAGUUACCUUAGGGAUAACAGCGUAAUUUUUUUGGAGAGCUCAUAUCGAUAAAAAAGUUUGCGACCUCGAUGUUGGAUUAAAAAUUAGCUUGGGUGCAGAAGCUCAAGAUUUUGGUCUGUUCGACCAUUAAAUUUUUACAUGAUCUGAGUUCAGACCGGCGUAAGCCAGGUCGGUUUCUAUCUUUAUUUAUCUAAAAUAUUUUAGUACGAAAGGACCAAAUAUUUAAUAUAAUUAUAUUUCUUUUUUGAAUAAUAUU
rnacentral:rRNA from 1 species